ensembl:snRNA U6 U6 spliceosomal RNA
GUGCUCACUUUAACAGCACCUGUACUAAAAUUGGAAUGAUACAGAGAUUAGUGUGGUCCCUACACAAGGAUGAUAUGCAAAUGUGUGGAGUGUUCCAUAUUUUU